GGACGAACGCUGGCGGCGUAGCUUAAAACAUGCAAGUCGAACGGAGUUUAUGAGUAGCUUGCUACGAGUAAACUAGUGGCGGACGGGUGAGUAACACGUGAGUAACCUGCCUAUCACAGGGGAAUAACACUUAGAAAUAGGUGCUAAUACCGCAUAUGACCACAGACCGGCGUCGGUCAGAGGUGAAAGGAGUUAAAUCUGGUGAUAGAGGGGCUUGCGUAUCAUUAGCUAGUUGGUGAGGGUAACGGCCCACCAAGGCCACGAUGAUUAGCCGAUCUGAGAGGAUGACCGGCCACAUUGGAACUGAGAUACGGUCCAGACUCCUACGGGAGGCAGCAGUUAGGAAUAUUGGGCAAUGGAGGAAACUCUGACCCAGCAACGCCGCGUGAAGGAUGAAGGUUUUCGGAUUGUAAACUUCUGAUCUGUGGAAAGAAGAAAAUGACGGUACCACAGGAGCAAGCCCCGGCUAACUACGUGCCAGCAGCAGC
rnacentral:rRNA from 1 species